rnacentral:rRNA from 1 species
UACGGAGGGAGCUAGCGUUGUUCGGAAUUACUGGGCGUAAAGCGCACGUAGGCGGCUUUGUAAGUUAGAGGUGAAAGCCUGGAGCUUAACUCCAGAAUUGCCUUUAAGACUGCAUCGCUUGAAUCCGGGAGAGGUGAGUGGAAUUCCGAGUGUAGAGGUGAAAUUCGUAGAUAUUCGGAAGAACACCAGUGGCGAAGGCGGCUCACUGGACCGGUAUUGACGCUGAGGUGCGAAAGCUAGGGGAGCGAACGGG